rnacentral:rRNA from 1 species
UACGUAGGCAGCGAGCGUUGUUCGGAAUUACUGGGCGUAAAGAGUGUGUAGGCGGUGUUCCAAGUCUGGUGUGAAAUCUCCCGGCUCAACUGGGAGGGUGCGCCGGAAACUGGAAUGCUAGAGGGUGGGAGAGGUAAGCGGAAUUCCUGGUGUAGCGGUGAAAUGCGUAGAUAUCAGGAGGAACACCUGUGGUGUAGACAGCUUACUGGACCACUUCUGACGCUGAGGCGCGAAAGCUAGGGGAGCAAACAGG